rnacentral:rRNA from 1 species
CCGAUAGGCGUAGGCGAUGGAUAACCGGUUGAUAUUCCGGUACCCGCUGUGAAGCGUCAAACAUCGAACCAGGCGAUGCUAAGUCCGUGAAGCCGCCCUUGAUCUCUUCGGAGUGAUGGGGAGUGGUGGAGCCGAUGAUCCAGACCUGUAGUAGGUGAGUGAUGGGGUGACGCAGGAAGGUAGUCCAUCCCGGGCGGUGGUUGUCCCGGGGUAAGGGUGUAGGACGUUGUGUAGGCAAAUCCGCACAACAUGUGUCUGAGACCUGAUGCCGAGCCGAUUGUGGUGAAGUGGAUGAUCCUAUGCUGUCGAGAAAAGCCUCUAGCGAGUUUCAUGGCGGCCCGUACCCCAAACCAACUCAGG